CACCACAAAACCCGUGGACCUUAAAAUUUCCAGGAAAGGAGCAGCAACUGUGCCACUGAGCUGGGGCCUCGUGUCUGUCUUACCCUAAACUCAUGGUUUUACAGGUCAGAAUGGCCCUGGGAUGGAGGUCUCCACAGCUGAGGAUGGGAAUGCUUUGAGCCUGGAAGGCAAUUUUUCCAACAAGUUGAUUUAUGGAAUUGGCUGGCAAAGCCUUGAAUACAUUGAGAAAUACAACUUCUACAAUGGACCAACACAUCCUUAAGGAAUGAAUGGUUCCUCUUUAAACUGGGAGCUGUGCUCCUGGCUGCUCCGAGCACCUUGGGAACGGAGGAGGAUUAGGACCAGGCUGUGAACUGUGGUGUUUGUCCUGCUGUGUAAACCUGUACUGGGCUAAUGGAGGAGCUCCCAUCUCAGCUGCUGGAUGUGUGCCGAAGAAAUGGAGUGAAACACAGAAGUGGUCACAGACUAUAGACCUGCACCUAUACAAGAUUUGGAAUUUUGCAUCUGUAGUGAUUUUCGUCUUUUUUUCCAAAGAAUCAUA